GACGAACGCUGGCGGCGUGCUUAACACAUGCAAGUCGAACGGUAAGGCCCUUCGGGGUACACGAGUGGCGAACGGGUGAGUAACACGUGGGUGAUCUGCCCUGCACUUCGGGAUAAGCCUGGGAAACUGGGUCCAAUACCGGAUAGGACCACUGCCUGCAUGGGUGGUGGUGGAAAGCUUUUGCGGUGUGGGAUGGGCCCGCGGCCUAUCGGCUUGUUGGUGGGGUGAUGGCCCACCAAGGCGACGACGGGUAGCCGGCCUGAGAGGGUGACCGGCCACACUGGGACUGAGAUUCGGCCCAGACUCCUGCGGGAGGCAGCAGUGGGGAAUAUUGCACACUGGGCGCAAGCCUGAUGCAGCGACGCCGCGUGAGGGAUGACGGCCUUCGGGUUGUAAACCUCUUUCAGCACCGACGAAGCGCAAGUGACGGUAGGUGCAGAAGAAGGACCGGCCCACUACGUGCCAGCCGCCGCAGUAA
rnacentral:rRNA from 1 species